rnacentral:rRNA from 1 species
UACGAAGGGGGCUAGCGUUGCUCGGAAUCACUGGGCGUAAAGGGUGCGUAGGCGGGUCUUUAAGUCAGGGGUGAAAUCCUGGAGCUCAACUCCAGAACUGCCUUUGAUACUGAAGAUCUUGAGUUCGGGAGAGGUGAGUGGAACUGCGAGUGUAGAGGUGAAAUUCGUAGAUAUUCGCAAGAACACCAGUGGCGAAGGCGGCUCACUGGCCCGAUACUGACGCUGAGGCGGCGAAAAGCUAGGGGAGCAACAGGAU